AUUAAGUUAGUUUAAACAAAACAUUAGGAUGUGGGCCUAAAAAUAAAGCAAGUUCUUUACUUAAUU
rnacentral:tRNA from 1 species